rnacentral:rRNA from 1 species
UACGUAGGGAGCAAGCGUUGUCCGGAAUCAUUGGGCGUAAAGCGCGCGUAGGCGGCCCUGUAAGUCCGUUGUGAAAGUCAAAGGCUCAACCUUUGAAAGCCGAUGGAUACUGCAGGGCUAGAGUCCGGAAGAGGCGAGUGGAAUUCCUGGUGUAGCGGUGGAAUGCGCAGAUAUCAGGAGGAACACCAGUGGCGAAGGCGGCCUGCUGGGCUGUUGCUGACGCUGAGGCGCGAAAGCGUGGGGAGCAAACAGG